rnacentral:rRNA from 1 species
UGGGGAAUCUUAGACAAUGGGGGAAACCCUGAUCUAGCCAUGCCGCGUGAGUGACGAAGGCCUUAGGGUCGUAAAGCUCUUUCGCCAGGGAUGAUAAUGACAGUACCUGGUAAAGAAACCCCGGCUAACUCCGUGCCAGCAGCCGCGGUAAUACGGAGGGGGUUAGCGUUGUUCGGAAUUACUGGGCGUAAAGCGCACGUAGGCGGACUAUUAAGUCAGGGGUGAAAUCCCGGGGCUCAACCCCGGAACUGCCUUUGAUACUGGUAGUCUUGAGUUCGAGAGAGGUGAGUGGAAUUCCGAGUGUAGAGGUGAAAUUCGUAGAUAUUCGGAGGAACACCAGUGGCGAAGGCGGCUCACUGGCUCGAUACUGACGCUGAGGUGCGAAAGCGUGGGGAGCAAACAGGAUUAGAUACCCCCGUAGUCC